UACCAACAGGCUAUGGGGCAUUUAUUCAGUGCCUUUAUGGUUAACCUAUAGACAUGGUGGCAACAUGAAGCAAACUACUUGGAAAAGAGAAUGGAGAGCAUAGAGAGACUAGACAGAGGCAGAAGGAACCGUUGGUUCUUUUGCAAAACAGCAAUACACAAACCUUCUGGGAACAUUGAAUCUUGGCAGGGGAUGGAGUGCUUUCUGCAGGAGAGCAGAUAUGGAGUCAAGGAUUUCUGAUGAUUAUUUUGGCAGAGAUCCAGGAAUUGUCCAGGCUGCAUAUUCUGACUUCCCAGCUAUAAAGCAAGAGGUUGGUUGCACUGGACUUUGAGUAUGUAAUGUACAGUGCACCCAUAGAAGCAUGUGCUGUGGAAGAAAAAUGGGAAGCGCUCUAGGAGAUUAAAGAAUAUUACCAAACUACCAAAUUCCCUGGUUAGUGUCCUAUCCAAUCAUAGUGUGGAAGGACCCACCUGGCAGGGUUUUUUCUCUCUGAGUCCUUUGAACUCUGCUCACCCAGUAGGGAAAUUGCUAAUGUCCUGAAGCCCAGCUGGGUGGUCCUAGCUGAUGAGGGACUUUGGGGAGAGUUAGCAAACAAGAGCAUCAGCAGAAGGUAGCUUCCAGUUUCUUUCCAGGAUUCUCCUCUUGUUCUGCUCUAGUACUCUUCAAAUACAUGAAACAACACCUACUGGAGAGAAACCCUAUGAAUGUAAUCUGUGUGAUAAAGCCCUUGUAUAUAUCAGUAGUCAUUGAAAUCAUUAGAAAAAAUCAUACUGCAGAGAAAUCCUACA